GGUUAAGCGACUAAGCGUACACGGUGGAUGCCCUGGCAGUCAGAGGCGAUGAAGGACGUGCUAAUCUGCGAUAAGCGUCGGUAAGGUGAUAUGAACCGUUAUAACCGGCGAUUUCCGAAUGGGGAAACCCAGUGUGAUUCGUCACACUAUCAUUAACUGAAUCCAUAGGUUAAUGAGGCGAACCGGGGGAACUGAAACAUCUAAGUACCCCGAGGAAAAGAAAUCAACCGAGAUUCCCCCAGUAGCGGCGAGCGAACGGGGAGCAGCCCAGAGCCUGAAUCAGUGUGUGUGUUAGUGGAAGCGUCUGGAAAGGCGUGCGAUACAGGGUGACAGCCCCGUACACAAAAAUGCACAUGCUGUGAGCUCGAUGAGUAGGGCGGGACACGUGGUAUCCUGUCUGAAUAUGGGGGGACCAUCCUCCAAGGCUAAAUACUCCUGACUGACCGAUAGUGAACCAGUACCGUGAGGGAAAGGCGAAAAGAACCCCGGCGAGGGGAGUGAAAAAGAACCUGAAACCGUGUACGUACAAGCAGUGGGAGCACGCUUAGGCGUGUGACUGCGUACCUUUUGUAUAAUGGGUCAGCGACUUAUAUUCUGUAGCAAGGUUAACCGAAUAGGGGAGCCGAAGGGAAACCGAGUCUUAACUGGGCGUUAAGUUGCAGGGUAUAGACCCGAAACCCGGUGAUCUAGCCAUGGGCAGGUUGAAGGUUGGGUAACACUAACUGGAGGACCGAACCGACUAAUGUUGAAAAAUUAGCGGAUGACUUGUGGCUGGGGGUGAAAGGCCAAUCAAACCGGGAGAUAGCUGGUUCUCCCCGAAAGCUAUUUAGGUAGCGCCUCGUGAAUUCAUCUCCGGGGGUAGAGCACUGUUUCGGCAAGGGGGUCAUCCCGACUUACCAACCCGAUGCAAACUGCGAAUACCGGAGAAUGUUAUCACGGGAGACACACGGCGGGUGCUAACGUCCGUCGUGAAGAGGGAAACAACCCAGACCGCCAGCUAAGGUCCCAAAGUCAUGGUUAAGUGGGAAACGAUGUGGGAAGGCCCAGACAGCCAGGAUGUUGGCUUAGAAGCAGCCAUCAUUUAAAGAAAGCGUAAUAGCUCACUGGUCGAGUCGGCCUGCGCGGAAGAUGUAACGGGGCUAAACCAUGCACCGAAGCUGCGGCAGCGACGCUUAUGCGUUGUUGGGUAGGGGAGCGUUCUGUAAGCCUGCGAAGGUGUGCUGUGAGGCAUGCUGGAGGUAUCAGAAGUGCGAAUGCUGACAUAAGUAACGAUAAAGCGGGUGAAAAGCCCGCUCGCCGGAAGACCAAGGGUUCCUGUCCAACGUUAAUCGGGGCAGGGUGAGUCGACCCCUAAGGCGAGGCCGAAAGGCGUAGUCGAUGGGAAACAGGUUAAUAUUCCUGUACUUGGUGUUACUGCGAAGGGGGGACGGAGAAGGCUAUGUUGGCCGGGCGACGGUUGUCCCGGUUUAAGCGUGUAGGCUGGUUUUCCAGGCAAAUCCGGAAAAUCAAGGCUGAGGCGUGAUGACGAGGCACUACGGUGCUGAAGCAACAAAUGCCCUGCUUCCAGGAAAAGCCUCUAAGCAUCAGGUAACAUCAAAUCGUACCCCAAACCGACACAGGUGGUCAGGUAGAGAAUACCAAGGCGCUUGAGAGAACUCGGGUGAAGGAACUAGGCAAAAUGGUGCCGUAACUUCGGGAGAAGGCACGCUGAUAUGUAGGUGAAGUCCCUCGCGGAUGGAGCUGAAAUCAGUCGAAGAUACCAGCUGGCUGCAACUGUUUAUUAAAAACACAGCACUGUGCAAACACGAAAGUGGACGUAUACGGUGUGACGCCUGCCCGGUGCCGGAAGGUUAAUUGAUGGGGUUAGCGCAAGCGAAGCUCUUGAUCGAAGCCCCGGUAAACGGCGGCCGUAACUAUAACGGUCCUAAGGUAGCGAAAUUCCUUGUCGGGUAAGUUCCGACCUGCACGAAUGGCGUAAUGAUGGCCAGGCUGUCUCCACCCGAGACUCAGUGAAAUUGAACUCGCUGUGAAGAUGCAGUGUACCCGCGGCAAGACGGAAAGACCCCGUGAACCUUUACUAUAGCUUGACACUGAACAUUGAGCCUUGAUGUGUAGGAUAGGUGGGAGGCUUUGAAGUGUGGACGCCAGUCUGCAUGGAGCCGACCUUGAAAUACCACCCUUUAAUGUUUGAUGUUCUAACGUUGACCCGUAAUCCGGGUUGCGGACAGUGUCUGGUGGGUAGUUUGACUGGGGCGGUCUCCUCCUAAAGAGUAACGGAGGAGCACGAAGGUUGGCUAAUCCUGGUCGGACAUCAGGAGGUUAGUGCAAUGGCAUAAGCCAGCUUGACUGCGAGCGUGACGGCGCGAGCAGGUGCGAAAGCAGGUCAUAGUGAUCCGGUGGUUCUGAAUGGAAGGGCCAUCGCUCAACGGAUAAAAGGUACUCCGGGGAUAACAGGCUGAUACCGCCCAAGAGUUCAUAUCGACGGCGGUGUUUGGCACCUCGAUGUCGGCUCAUCACAUCCUGGGGCUGAAGUAGGUCCCAAGGGUAUGGCUGUUCGCCAUUUAAAGUGGUACGCGAGCUGGGUUUAGAACGUCGUGAGACAGUUCGGUCCCUAUCUGCCGUGGGCGCUGGAGAACUGAGGGGGGCUGCUCCUAGUACGAGAGGACCGGAGUGGACGCAUCACUGGUGUUCGGGUUGUCAUGCCAAUGGCACUGCCCGGUAGCUAAAUGCGGAAGAGAUAAGUGCUGAAAGCAUCUAAGCACGAAACUUGCCCCCGAGAUGAGUUCUCCCUGACUCCUUGAGAGUCCUGAAGGAACGUUGAAGACGACGACGUUGAUAGGCCGGGUGUGUAAGCGCAGCGAUGCGUUGAGCUAACCGGUACUAAUGAACCGUGAGGCUUAACCUUAC
rnacentral:rRNA from 1 species